rnacentral:tRNA from 1 species
GAGAGUGUGGCUCAGUGGUAGAGUGCUUGCCUAGCAUGCAUGAAGCCCUGGGUUCAAUUCCUCAGUACCUCA